UUGUGCCCAGGCCUGGAAGGUGUCCAGUCUGAGAAAAAGCUUACUGAAGCAUCUCUGAGGAGUAAGCUGUAGCCCACGGUUGCAGAGAAAAGCUUGAAAAUGUGACCUGAGUGUCCCCUGGAGGCAAGUAAGAAGAACCCCAGAUUUACCAUUUAAAAAAAAUCAUGAUUUUUAUGCCAAUCUCGUGAUCUUUUCAGGCCUGAUUUAUGAUUUUUGAACACCUAGGGUUAUUUGGAGACGUGCCAUUGUAACCCAUGGUCCAUGUGCAUGCCAUCUGCCGCUCUCUAUCUGGGUGGUGGGACAAAGGUGUGUGAUCGUUGCAGAGAACCUAGAGGGCAGGUGUGACUGCUGUCUAGCUCCCUGGGCCCAGACAAUAGCUGGACACUCUGUAUCGUGGCAACUGAUGGCCGGGGCCCAUCCUCUGCAACAGCCAGCCGGAGGAUUUGGAGAACAAAGAGGCGGAGGCCAGGUGACCAGUCUUCCUGGGAAAGACACAAAGGACGGAAGAGGAGCAACAGGGCAUGACUGAGGGUGGGCUGCUGGAAGCAAGUCAGGCUCCUGGUUUGAGACUCGGGGAGCAGAGCCCAUGGCUCUGA